rnacentral:rRNA from 1 species
UGCAAGUCGUACGAGAGUUUUUAACUCUAGUGGCGGACGGGUGAGUAACACGUGAGAAUUUGCCUUUAGGAGGGGGACAACAAUUGGAAACGAAUGCUAAUACCCCAUAUGCUUUCGAGUAAAAUGGAUUUUAUCUGCCUAAAGAGAAGCUCGCGGCUGAUUAGCUUGUUGGUAAGGUAAAAGCUUACCAAGGCGACGAUCAGUAUCUGGUUUGAGAGGACGAUCAGACACACUGGAACUGAGACACGGUCCAGACUCCUACGGGAGGCAGCAGUGGGGAAUUUUCCGCAAUGGGCGAAAGCCUGACGGAGCAAUACCGCGUGAGGGAAGACUGCCUAUGGGUUGUAAACCUCUUUUUUCAGGGAGGAAUAAAAUGACGUGUACCUGAAGAAUAAGCAUCGGCUAACUCCGUGCGGGGGGGGCGCGGUAAGACGGAGGAUGCAAGUGUUAUCCGGAAUCACUGGGCGUAAAGCGUCUGUAGGUGGUUUAAUAAGUCAACUGUUAAAUCUUGAGGCUCAACUUCAAAAUCGCAGUCGAAACUAUUAGACCAGAGUAUAGUAGAGGUAAAGGGAAUUUCCAGUGGAGCGGUGAAAUGCGUAGAGAUUGGAAAGAACACCGAUGGCGAAAGUACUUUACUGGGCUAUUACUAACACUCAGAGACGAAAGCUCGGGUAGCAAAUGGGAUUAGAUAUCCCAGUAG